GAUUCAAGCCCUAAUCUAGUAGAGGACCUUUUUAUCGAACUACCAGAUGUCUUUGACAGUAAGCAUCAGUUAUAACAGCAAUGGGGAUUCCAACCUCUUUUUUUCAGAGAUCCAGAUUUUGAAUUUUUACAAGAUAAAGGUGGCAACGUGUUGAUAUAAGGAAAGUGGCCGAGUGAUGGAGUUUGAAGCUGAUAAUGAUGUUUAUUUCUACUAUCUCUGAAGAGGGCUGCUCACUUGGAUAUGGUAUAUAGACUCAUUACUUGUAACCAGUUUAUUGAUUUACUCACCUUAUAUGGUUCCAGUAUAAAGAGACAGCGAACUGUACUUUYGUACUAGAAUUUUGUAAGAACUGAUAUUCACCUUAAUGGUUCCUGUAUUAAGAGACAAUGAACUGUACAUUACAUGCUUGGAUACCAGAAAUGACAUCCCUCAAAAGUAUUGUUCACCUUUAUGGUUCCUGUCUGGUCAUCGAGUCUGCAGGGAGUUCAAGGA